AUUGAACGCUGGCGGCAUGCCUUACACAUGCAAGUCGAACGGCAGCACGGGUGCUUGCACCUGGUGGCGAGUGGCGAACGGGUGAGUAAUACAUCGGAACGUACCUUAUCGUGGGGGAUAACGCAGCGAAAGCUGUGCUAAUACCGCAUACGCCCUGAGGGGGAAAGCGGGGGAUCGCAAGACCUCGCGCGAUUAGAGCGGCCGAUGCCGGAUUAGCUUGUUGGUGGGGUAAAAGCCCACCAAGGUGACGAUCAGUAGCUGGUCUGGGAGGACGAUCAGACACACUGGGACUGAGAAACGGCCCAGACUCCUACGGGAGGCAGCAGUGGGGAAUUUUGGACAAUGGGGGCAACCCUGAUCCAGCAAUGCCGCGUGAGUGAAGAAGGCCUUCGGGUUGUAAAGCUCUUUUGUCAGGGAAGAAACACCGGCUCUAACACAGUCUGGGAAUGACGGUACCUGAAGAAUAAGCACCGGCUAACUACGUGCCAGCCGCCGCCGUAA
rnacentral:rRNA from 1 species